GGCCUGAGGAGUGGGGUGAUGAUGCCACGGGCGGGUGGCAGCAGGCACUCAGCCUAAGGAGGGGCCCUUCAGCAAUAGGCCUUUGCUCCCUGACUUGUUCAUCCCCUGCCCCAUCGAAGAAGCCUUUGCCUCCUGUUUGGCUCCUUAAGUGGUCCAGGUUGAUGAAGAAGAUUUUGGCUGCCCAUGGUACCGGUGCAGAGCAUGCCGUAGGCAAGAAGAACGUGGACAGGAGCAACUUCAAGGCCGAGGGGCUGGUGAGGCUGACAGAGGGCCCAGGGGGGAGGUGCUCAUGAGCAGAGAGGAGGCUGGCAGGCCCAAACUGCACCAAGGGCCAUUCUGCUGCCGUGACUCUUGAGUACCCAGAUCUCAGAGCUCCCCCAAACCCCACUCUCUCCACAGCCUAACUGGGGGCAGGCAGACAUGGUCUUCAAAUGCUAUGGCAAGGGCCAGGAUCAGCUUAGGAGGCUUAGGAAAAAGGGGGUGCCCUCCCCUAUACUCCCUGGUGCAGCAUUCCAGAGCACCUCCGUGCUGGAGCCCCAGAAAGACCCACCCAUUCGGAGGUCAGUCCCCUAGGCCCCUAUAGGCAGGAACCCUCAGUGCAGGCAGGGGUCACCAGCCCUGCUCUGGAAAGGAGAGACUUGCCCUCAGCACGCCUGCUCCAGGGAAACUCAGAUUCGAACCCUGGUGCUCUCUCCAAAAGGCCCCCCCAGCGAAAAUCAACCCCUGACCUGAGGAAGUUCCCAGUCUGAUGGAGAAGGUGCAUACACUAUCCUCAGUUCCACUGUGAAGGGCCAAGCUCUGCUAAAGAGGAGAGACUCCUGCCCUGAGGGAAUUGUGGGAUAGGCUAACACAGUGGAUUCCAGGAGCAUGUUUCCAGGCACAGGAAAGAUAAUCCAAACUGCUUGGGGGAGUGGAGUAGAAGGAAUCCAGUUAAGCUGAACAGAAGGCAACAAAUAUUUUAGCAUAAGUAUAUCUCAAACAGCAUUUGGGAUAUACUUAUACUUAGCUUAUACUUAUACUUAACUUGAUGUCCUGUGUUAUUUGCCAAACAGCAAGCAAGCGUCCAGCUUGAGGGAGACAGAGAGAAACGGACACACAGCUCCUCAUGUCUGGGCUGUGCCUGCGUGCGUGCGUGUGCGUGUGCAUGCGUGCGUGUGCGUGUGCAUGCGUGCGUGCGUGCGUGCGUGCGUGCGUGCGUGCGUGCGUGCGUGUGUGUGUGUGUGUGUGUGUGUGUGUGUGUGUGUCCCUGUGUGUUUGGGGAGAGGGUGGUUCCUGGGGCUCAGCUGUAGCAGUUUAAAAUUCUUUCCAGGCCAGAUCCCUAAUCCUCCCGCACAAUGCUGGCCUUCUCCCCCGCUGCCCACGCCCUCCCCCAAGGGGCCGUGGCAGUGCCACCAGGGGCCCCUUUAAGCCCCUUUGAAGCCUCCAGAGCGCGCGCUGCGGGAGGCCCGGCCGCUAUGCCAGCUAUGCCAGCUAUGUCCCCGCUGCCGCCGGCCACCACCGCGCCCCCAUUAAUGCGGGCUAAUCUGGCUAAUAAAUAAACUCCCUUCCCUGCGGUAGCCCCUCGCUGGCUCCUCCCCCAGCUCGCCCGAAUUGACUCAGAGCUGGGCCAGAACCCGCGGCCCCUUCGGUCACAGCCGCGGCUGCGGUGUAACUGACACCUGUCGCGUCGGAGCGUAGGAGGAGCUGCCGUGAGCUUGCCGGCCUCUUCUUCAGCGCACCUGCCUUCGGGUAGCCGGACGCCCCGGGAGCUAUGGGGGUGGAGAGGAGGAUACCCGUCUCGGAGCGCCCCCUGCAGGUGGGACCGCUGCCCCGCGGCACGGCUCCCCAGGGAACGCAGGCCCGGAGCCCUGAGCCAGUUGACUCUUGGCCUCCCGCCACGGGAGUCCCUUCUCCGCGGCCUCUGCCGCCCCCUGCGUCCCUGCCCCGCUUCCGAGGGUGACUCAUAAGCCAAGCAGCAUCGUCUCACCUCCUGCAUCACAUCGGAGCGCGUGCAAAGGGAGAAAUUACAGGAUGGCAGGGCCACAGGCUAAUGCGUUCUGAUUAUCCACCGCGGCUGUCAUCCGCGGCCUCGGCAGCACUGGGCCAACGGGAGCUGUCUUGGGCACGGAAGACAUUCAGGAAAGGUCCUCCUGAUCAGCUCCAUUACUGCUGGCUCUGACAAGUGCCACAGGCUCCUUUUAUGACAGGUGGAAAGGAGACAGAAAGCAGGUGCCAGCUUGGGAUGGCAGCUACUCUCAGUGGGGCACCUGAAGAGCCUGUCCCAGAUGGUUCUCUCUCUCCUGUCCCUCUCACUCUUCCUCACUCUGCCCUUCCCCCUCCAAAACUUCAAGCCUCCAGAUCAGGACUGAAUGUCCUUUCCAGUACGUCUGUUCUCAAGGGGGCAUCUUAGGGGCUCUUGGGAGUGGGAAGGCAUGACCUUAGCCCGUGUCUGUGACAGUGCCUUCCUGGCACUCUGCCCCCAGCUGCCACCUCCUAAGAGGGACGUUUCAGCCUGGUCUUGGCAAAAACAUCAGCCUAUGAUCCAGGCUGGCCGAUAUGGUGCUCACUCUGCUACCGACAUCACUGUGACCUUGGAAAGACAUUUGCUCCCCUGGGACUCCGUUUCCCCUGUAUUUAAAAUUAAUUUCCUUAUGAUUUGUGGUUUUCAAACUUUUCUUUUUAAAAUAACAAGUCUCCUUUUAAAUAGUAACCCAUGGGGCAUCUUCUUUCUCUGAGGCAACAAAGGAAAGGGAUGGAGUUCCAUGGCCGAAGUAGAAAUCGGGGCCAGCCCAACUGGGCCUGGUACAUGCUUAGGGCCCCAGCAGUCAGGAGGCUAAGGCUAGGAUUCAGUGACAAAUUAGGCUGCAUAGGGAGUCUCGGGACAGCCUGGGCUACAAAUUGAGGCUCUCUCUUUGGUGGUGAAGAUGAUGAUGAUGAUGAUGAUGAUGAUGAUGAUGAUGAUGGAGGCUUAAAUGUGAUGGCUACUGCUCUUUUAAAGGUCCCAAGUUCUGUUCCCAGCACCCACAUGGGGAAACUCAGAAUUGCCUUUGACUUCAAUUCCAGAGGAUUUGAAGUCCUCUGGCUUCCUUGAGCGUUUGCACACAUGUGGCACACGUAUUUGCACACACAUGGCUCACACACACUUGUGUGUGUUUGAGUGUGCACGAGUUGGCAUACAUAAAAUUUCUAAAUAAAUAA